UUGGCUGUAAAGCAUAUUUUGAAAAUCUGAGAUGACAGGGUGAUUAACAAAAGGCUAAGCUGUGUUCCAAUAUAUUUCACUUGUGAUUUUCAUGAAUAGGAAUAUUUUCUAGGAAGAUUUAUGUCCGUUGCGUUAUGCUAAUUAGUGUCAGAUGAUGACAACAGUCCCGUUCACGUGAUGGUGUGUCACUACAGAUUAAAGCUUGGUCGCAAAUGGCUCUUCCAAGUGGACAAUGACCCCAAGCAUACUUCCAAAGUUGUGGCAAAAUGGCUUAAGGACAACAAAGUCAAGGUAUUAGAGUGGCCAUCACAAAGCCCUGACCUCAAUCCUAUAGAAAAUGUGUGAGCAGAACUGAAAAAGCGUGUGUGAGCAAGGAGGCCUACAAACCUGACUCAGUUACACCAGCUCUGUCAGGAGGAAUGGGCCAAAAUUCACCCAACUUAUUGUUGGAAGCUUGUGGAAAGCUACCCAAAACAUUUGACCAUUUAAAGGCAAUGCUACCAAAUACUAAAUGAGUGUAUGUAAACUUCUGACCCACUGGGAAUGUGAUAAAAUAAAUAAAAGCUGAAAUAAAUCAUUCACUAUUAUUCUGACAUUCACAUUCUUAAAAUAAAGUGGUGAUCCUAACUGACCUAAGACAGGGAAUUUAUACUAGAAUUAAAUGUCAGGAAUUGUGAAAAACUGAGUUUAAAUGUAUUUGGCUAAAGUGUAUGUAAACUUCCGACUUCAACUGUAUAUGAAACUAAUUAUUACAGGUCUGAUCAAUUCAUGCAAAUGUCAUCUCAGAGACAUCUCUACAUGAUCUCAAAGAGGUGCUAAAGUGUAAAAUAAUCACAAAAGUGGAACAGAUAUGAUUUAUUUCCAUUAAUUCAUCAUUCAAUAUACAUUCAUAAUGUUCCAACACAAGUCAUUUGUUGAGUAUACCUAGUCCUUCUCAAGUGUGUUUGGGAAAUGAGUUGCAAACACAAUACCGGGCAUAGCUGUCAAGUCAAGGAAAACAACUUUGCCCAAAACAUGCUCAAGUGCAAUUACAACUGUGUUGACAGGGGUUUCCAAUAGGGUCACAUCAUGAAAGCAGGUACCAUGUGUUACAGUAUCUUGCAGCAAAGAAAAACAUGCACUUUCAAAUUCGCUAAUAAGUGCCCAUUUUAGUCCUCAGAGGUAAAGAAGAAUUCAAAUCUGUCCAUACUUUAGUUGUGCUACUGUACAUUAGAAGAAUAAAACAAAAAUAGUUAGUUAUUUUUCCUUUCCCAUAAUGCCUUGAUGUGAGACGAGUUCUCUUAAUUCUCUUAACUUGUGCCCUGUGAAAUGCCUUCACUGAAUGUGGUGAAUUAAUGUGGCGACCAGCAUGUUUUUCUAUUGCAGAGAGGUGCCUUGCCUCCAGUUGAAGUUCACUUGAUGCUCCAAUUAUGUUUGUUCUCGACUUAUGUGACUUUGUCACAAAAAACUAUGGUCAUUGGUCAUCCGUGCGUAAAAGUCAGCUAUGGCAUUUUCUGGCUUUAUGAUUUGCGAAAUAGCAUGGAUAGACUGCACUAGUUUGACUGCAUGGACCAUUUGUAUAGGUAUGUUUUGAAUACCAUGUGUGAGCCUUAACAAAUAUUCAUGUUUCCAUUUUGAAGACAAAAAUGGCUGAGUCCAUAAUGGGCCAAGGGCUUUGACGCUGUCUGCUAGUUGCACAAGAAGGUGAAUAUUUGCAGUUUGGUAAUGCUCACCAUAGAGAUUACUAAUUUGAGAGAAAAAGUUCCAUAGCAGUUUCUCUGCAUGAUCAAUCUGUUGUAUUGAUAUGAAGUCCAUCAGAAGAAUGAAAAUAGCUUCACUUAAAAGGAGGGAGUGAUUGUAGUAAAGAGUUCCAAGAACACCACGGAAAACAUGUCCAAAAAAGAUUAAAAGAGCCCGAUAAUUCUGAUGCCUUAAAAAACAUCCUGUGAGAUGCUACUGAUCGAGGAUAUUGUGCCAAGGAUGGUGGUCGGAUAUCUUGCAAUCACUUGUCUUUUUGUUUUGUUUCUUUUGACAUGCUGAAGGGCUGAUGAGAAACCUCAGUGGAAAACCAUAGAAGGAUCAGAAGGCGCAUCACUCCAAACAAAGCUGAGUGCAUGUAGUCUAUUCCAGUGCUACGGAUUAGGUCAUAACUUUUAAAUUGGCUAAGCCAACAGGGACCCUUCACACCUUUCACUUCACAGUGGUUUUUGUCUCAUAGGCCAUUUUAGCAUCAUCAGCAAAUGUUUGAUGCGUGUGAGGUGGCCCUUUUGGAUCCAUUUCUUGGAAUGGAAAUGCAUGAACAUGUCUCCUUUGCCCCAUCUUCAGUCUUUCCAGGCUGCUCACAUUUCGAACAUACAAAGAUCCCAUUGAACUGCACUGUAUUUAGUACUAUUGCUUGGCAGGCAAGUCACAUGUGCCAGCAAUGGUAAGCACUUUGCACAAAAACGUUUCAGAGCCCUCUGCCGGUUGCACAUGAAUUCCAUCCUCUUGAAGUUUACUCUGUGUUACUCAAUGGUCUAAGAAAUGUAACCAUAGAUGGUUUUGAGUCCCCAUACCAAAGUCUGGCAAAAAUCAAAUGUUCUCUUUCUGUGCAUUCAAUAAAGCUCAAUUCAUUAAUGAUACAAAAAAAGGCCACACUGAAAAUGUAGAUGAUUUAAAAAUAGGUACCCCAUCUGUGUUCCAUGUAAGUGAGAUGUUUCUAGGAUCACUAAGAGGACCUCCCCCAUCUGCAUGCUGUCUGUAAACUUCUGCAUCAUAUAUAUAUUCUAUGUCAGGAUCUUUCUUCUUCCUACAAAAUCUAAAGUUAAGCUUUUCCUGAAAACCAGGCUUGAGAAACAAGGAUCUUAUUUGAGCAUCAAUUUGAACAUCCAUGAAGGAUGAUGCUGAUCCUUCUUCUGUCAUGCUGGUACCACAGGUCAGACAUUGUUCACACACUACUGACUCAAAACAUGUGCUGCAACUCUUAUGCAUCCCAAAAGGGGAAGAUGCAGAGUUGGGGGAAAAGGUCUCUGAACUUCUGUACACUGCUCAAGCAGUCUGUGUUGAGACUAUCUGGACAAAGCAAUGUUGUUAAUUUAAGCUAAUCACUAAGGGCAUUGCCAGUUACUUUAUGACAGUUUGCGUAAGCCAUGAUUACCAAAAGGCACUCUCCAAUGGUUAUAGAUGCAUUGUCAUAUAAUGAUUUGCCUGUUUUGUUGUGUCGUUGGAUGUUGACUGUGUUGAGUGUGCACCCUACUCACUAGACACCUUUUCAAAUCCCUCACUGAAGAUAAAGUUAUCAUCAUAGGGACAAUUCAUGAAAUCAGGAAUCACUUCCUCAAAAGAUUCAGAUAGAUCAUACUGAUCAGUAUUGUCACACAGUUGUUAGGACAUCAGGAGUAUCUCGGCUGGCUGAUCUGAGGUUCGCUCUUCGUUUUCAAUGGUAAAGUCAAUCGUUGAAACAUAAAAUAAUAAAACAACAGUUUAAUAGUAUGUUUAGACAACAUGUAUUAAUGGUAAAACAUUGUGUUGCACCAUCACUGUGAGUGUACACAUGGGUCUCAAAUAAACUUGGCAAGAUAACACACACAAAGCAAAUUAGAUGUUUAUGCAAAUAUGUUUCAGGUACAAGAGGGUACUACUAUAAAACAUAGGAAGUGGAAUAAGAAUGUAUAACUUACUUAAAUAUUGUUCAUCCUACGUGCUGUCCUGACCGGGUGGGUGUGGUCUGUCCUGAUGGGACGGGUGCAUCGAUCCUUCCUGAUGGGGUGGUUGGGUUCCAUUCAUUCGGGCAGGCUGCAGGGGGUAAAAUAUAUAUAUUUUUUAAAUGGUGUCUGCUAUGUUAAAAUAUGGCAGAGCAAUUAUCACGUCACUCACCAAAUGUGCAGUCCUUCUUGGCCGUUUAAAUGGCCCAGCGUUCUUUAUUCAUUGUUCCUCUCCAUCGGCUUCCAGGCUCUGGUCUUGUCAUUUUCAGUCUCCAAUAUUAUUCAAUAGAGAUCGGUCACUCAAUUUUCGUCAAGAUAAAACAUUUAUUUAUUUAUUUCACCUUUAGGCCAGUUGAGAACAAGUUCUCAUUGCUUGCCUAUUGUCCUGUAGCCCAUCCCAGUCUUGUGCAGGUCUAAAAUUUUAUCCCUGAUGUCCUUACACAGCUCUCUGGUCUUGGCCAUUGUGGAGAGGUUGGAGUCUUUGAUUGAGUGUGUGGAUAGGUGUCUUUUAUACAGGUAAAAAGUUCAAACAGGUGCAGUUAAUACAGGUAAUGAGUGGAGAACAGGAGGGCUUCUUAAAGAAAAACUAACAGGUCUGUGAGAGCCGGAAUUCUUACUGGUUGGUAGGUGAUCAAAUACUUAUGUCAUGCAAUAAAAUGCAAAUUAAUUACUUAAAAAUCAUACAAUGUGAUUUUCUGGAUUUUUGUUUUAGAUUCCGUCUCUCACAGUUGAAGUGUGCCUAUGAUAAAAAAUUACCGACCUCUACGUGCUUUGUAUGUAGGAAAACCUGCAAAAUCGGCAGCGUAUCAAAUACUUGUUCUCUCCACUGUAUAUCUCCAGAAUUCAGCUGCUUCAGAGUGCAACUGGUCCUUGUUUGGGGACACACACACCAAAGCACGCAACAGGCUGACCAAUACAAGGGUUGAAAAAUUACCUUCUGUGGUCCAAGGUCAUUGAUGACUGCCUUCAGCUCAUCUACAAUGUAGAGACCGUUGUCCCUUGUGUCUGUGCUCUUGUAGAAUACUGGUUGAGGGGUAGAGAUGAUAUAGUUAAUUAUUCCUUGCCCACGAACAUUCGACCACCCAUCAGAGAUGAUUGCAAUACAGUCUGCUUUCUCUAUGAUUUGCUUGAACUCUGAACUCUGCAUCCAGCAAUUGAGUAGAUAAAGCAUGUCUGGUUGGAGGGGUAUAUGCUGGGCAAAGAACAUCUCUUCCAAUACACAUUGCCUGUGAGCAUCAGAGGUGAACCAGUUGCAUACACAGCUCGAGGAAGACAUUCAUCAGCAUUUCUCUGACUACAUUCCUCCAUUGAGUCAAAAAAAACUUCUGAUUCCAGGAGGACCAUGAGCUGUUGCUAUCUAUAAUGUAUCUGAUUCAUCAUUUUCACCUCGAUUAGAGGUAGAGGGACUUUUGUCAGAGGUUGCUUGUUGUGAGCGCUGAGGGAACUUUAUGCACUUGGCCAGAUGAUUCUGCAUCCUUGUUGCAUUCUUUACAUAUGAUUUGGCACAGUAUUUGCAAAUGUAUACAGCUUUUCCUUCUACAUUAUCUGCAGUGAAAUGUCUCCACACAUCAGAUAGUGCCAUUGGCAUUUUCCUGUAAAGAUUAGAAAAAAUAUGUGUAAAGAAACAACAAAUACAAUUCCAUAUAGAGAUAAAUAGUUAAGAAGUUAGAUUAAACAACUCAUUUGUAUGAUAAAUGUUUUAAAAUGAAACAUGUACAGAAUUAACACUCCUCAAGCAAGCUAAAACCCACAUGGUAGCAAAAACUAACUAGCAGAAAUUGUUAAUAAGUUAGAAAUGAUUUAACCUGUUGCAACGAGCAAUCCCGUAUCCGGGAGCGUAAUUAUAGCCUCAAGCUCAUUACCAUAACGCAACGUUAACUAUUCAUGAAAAUCGCAAAUGAAAUGAAAUAAAUAUAUUGGCUCACAAGCUUAUUAGCCUUUUGUUAACAACACUGUCAUCUCAGAUUUUCAAAAAAUGCUUUUCAACCAUAGCUACACAAGCAUUUGUGUAAGAGUAUUGAUAGCUAGCACAGCAUUAAGCCUAGCAUUCAUCAGGCAACAUUUUCACAAAAACAAGAAAAGCAUUCAAAUAAAAUCAUUUACCUUUGAAGAACUUCGGAUGUUUUCAAUGAGGAGACUCUCAGUUAGAUAGCAAAUGUUCAGUUUUUCCAAAAAGAUUAUUUGUGUAGGAGAAAUCGCUCCGUUUUGUUCAUCAGGUUUGGCUGAGAAAAAAAACGAAAAUUCAGUCAUUAAAACGCAAACUUUUUUCCAAAUUAACUCCAUAAUAUCGACAGAAACAUGGCAAACGUUGUUUAGAAUCAAUCCUCAAGGUGUUUUUCACAUAUCUAUUCGAUGAUAAGUCACUCGUGGCAGUUUGGUUUCUCCUCUGUUCAAAAUGGAAACAUGCACGCACCUGGAGAUUACGCAAUAGUUUUGACGGAGGACACCGAGCGGACACCUGGUAAAUGUAGUCUCUUAUGGUCAAUUUUCCAAUGAUAUGCCUACAAAUACGUCACAAUGCUGCAAACACCUUGGGGAAACGACAGAAAGUGUAGGCUCUCUCCUUGCGCAUUCACAGCCAUAUAAGGAGACAUUGGAACACAGCGCCUCAUAAAUCUGGCUCACUUCCUGUAUGAAAUUUCAUCUUGGUUUCGCCUGUAGCAUUAGUUCUGUGGCACUCACAGACAAUAUCUUUGCAGUUUUGGAAACGUCAGUGUUUUCAUUCCAAAGCUGUCAAUUAUAUGCAUAGUCGAGCAUCUUUUCGUGACAAAAUAUCUUGUUUAAAACGGGAACGUUUUUCAUCCAAAAAUGAAAUACUGCCCCCAGAGGUUCAAGAGGUUAAAACACACUUUGAUGUAGGCUACUAUUUACUAGUAAACAAAAAAUCAUGUGUGUCAUAAAAUAUAUUCACCCCACCCAGUACUGUAAUCAAAACAUAUCAGAAAGCAUGUAGUCCUUGGCUCAGACAGUGUAGUAGUGUGGGCUCAAUAGCAUCUCAUUAGUGUGCAAGAUCUUGAGAAUCAGCUGUACAUGUGAUGGAAGAGUGCACGACACGUGAUGGAAGAAUUCACUGUGCAAUCAGAGGGUUAGAAUUCCAUUGAAUUGGGGAUAGUUUAACCAAACUAUGCCACAAGACCUAAAAUUGCCUUAUUUGUAUCCCACAAAAAAAGGUUCACUGUUAUAAGCUAACUCUUUUUGAUGAAUUUAAAUAAAUAAUAAUAAUGAUUUGUGCCCUGGUCCUAUAAGACCUCUUUGUCACUUCCUACUAGCCGGGUUGAGACGACAACUCACACUCAUUCUUAUGUUUAAUACAUGUAUAGUAUGUUUCGUAUAGUGUGCAUUGUAUAGUGUAUGUGUGGCAGGCUUACAAUGAUGGCAAAAAAACAUUUGAGAGUGUGCUGACCCUGGUGCUAGACUGGGUACGCAGCUGGAGGUUGAAUGUUUUAAGGGGUACGGGAAUAGGGUGGCAAAGGGACGGAAACUUUCUGGUACAUUUCUGGAAUUUUUCCGGAAAUUUUACAUGGGAAGUUAAGCCCAGGAAUUUGGGGAAUUUUGCUUAACCAUCUUACAUAAAACCUUAUUUGUUCAUUGAAAAUUGUGAAUAACGCACCACAGGUUAAUGAGAAGGGUGUGCUCAUAACUCUGCAAUGUUGGGUUGUAUUGGAGAGUCUCAGUCUUAAAUCAUUUUCGACAGUCUGUGCCUGUAUUUAGUUUUCAUGCUAGUGAGGGCCAGAAUCAACUCUCACAUAGGUACAUGGUUGCAAAGGGCAUCAGUGUCUUAACAGUGCAAUUUGCCCCGGCAGGCUACUCUGAGCACAGCCCAAUCCAGAAUCUGGCAGUGGCUUCUGAUUAAAUUCAAUUUUCACAGAACCGCUUGUUGCAAUUUCGAUGAGUCUCUCUUGUUCAGAUAUCGGUAAGUGGACUGGAGGCAGGGCAUGAAAGGGAUAACAAAUCCAGUUGUUUGUCAUCCGUUUCAGGAAAGUACCUGUGUAAUUGCGCACCCAACUCACUCAGGUGCUUCGCUAUAUCACAUUUGACAUUGUCCGUAUUCUUGAGUUCAUUUGCACACAAAAAAGUCAUACAAUGAUGGAAAGACCUGUGUGUUGUCCUUGUUAAUGCAGACAGAGAAGAGCUCCAGCUUCUUAAUCAUAGCCUCAAUUUCAUCCCGAACAUUGAAAAUAAUUGCGGAGAGUCCCUGUAAUCCUAGAUUCAGAUCAUUCAGGCAAGAAAAAAACAACACCCAGAUAGGCCAGUCAUGUGAGAAACUCGUCAUCAUGCAAGCGGUCAGACAAGUGAAAAUUAUUGUCAGUAAAGAGAACUUUAAGCUCGUCUCUCAAUAAAAUAAGAAAAACAUGUCAAUACUUUGCCCCUUGAUAACCAGCGCACUUCUGUAUGUUGUAAAAGCGUUACAUGGUCGCUGCCCAUAUCAUUGCAUAGUGCAGAACAUACACGAGAGUUCAGGGGGCUUUUUUUAACAAAGUUAACCAUUUUCCCUGUAGUGUCCAAAACGUCUUUCAAGCUGUCAGGCAUUCCUUCAGCAGCAAGAGCUUCUCGGGGAUACUGCAGUGUACCCACUGCAGCAACUGCUUGCAUGCGCGUUACCACUCCACUAUGUCUCCCUGCCAUGGCUUUUGCGCCAUCAGUACAGAUACCAACACAUCUUGACCACCAAAGUCCAUUUGAUGUCUCAAAGCUGUCCAGUAGUUUAAAAAUAUCCUCUGCUGUUGUCCUGGUUUGCAGAAGAGGAUGUCUUCCUUAAUUGACCCCUCAUAAACAUAACGGACAUAUACCAGGAGCUGUGCCAGGCCCACCACGUCUGUUGACUCAUCCAGGUGGAACGCAUAGAAUUCACUGGCUUGUAUGCGAAGCAGUAAUUGUUUCAAAAAAUCUCCUGCCAUGUCACUGAUGAGUCGUGAAACAAUGUUGUUUGAUGAAGUAAUUGUCUGUAUAGUCUUUUUGGGCCUUUUCCCCCAUCCAUAUCUGCGGCAACAGGAAGAAUUAAGUCCUCCACAAUAGUAUGGGGCCUGCCUGUCCUAGCCACUCGGUAGCUCACCAUAUAAGACACUUCUUAUUAAUGGUAUCUGUUGGUUUUAUACAUGUCUUACUACUCAAAAUUCAUUUCAAUUCUUGCUCAAAAAACACCUGGGGCCAAUUUUUCAAAUUGGCAUGUUUUGUUUCUAAAUGUCUGUGCAAGAGUGAAGGUUUCAUUGAGUUGUGAGAUAGUACCUUUGCACAUAGAACACACUGUAGCUGAGGAAAGGCACUACUCCCAAUCUAAGUGCACGCACCAGCCCUCACUGGAUGGAACACACCAGUCCCAGUUGGACAGCACGCACCAGCCCUCACUGGAUGGAACGCACCAGCUCCAAUAUGACGGCACGCACCAGCCGCAUGGCAGCCAUGUGAUGGUUGUAGGGACGAGGUCGAACAAAUCCUCUGUGACAAGGGAAGGAUGGAGGAAGUAAUUUUGAGAAUAGACCCAGUCCAGAUCCGAGAGCUGCACGCUCUCAUUGACAUCAUUGGAGAAACACUGUUAGCUACAGGAGAGAAGGCCAUCGGUGCCAUCCGGCGAGCAAGAGUUGUUUCCUGACAGUGGCAUGUUCCUCUCAUCGUUCUGCCAUCCAUCAGGCAUCUAAGCAAGAUUGCUUGCGUCUCUUCAUUUUCUUUUUGACCAUUUUGUCUCAGUGGAAGAAUGUGUCAAUUGAGUUGCCUUUGGACGCCAUGGCAAGAUCCCCCGAACGGAAGCUAGUCCUCGAACCAGAAAAAGGUCAGCGGAAUUCUAACCUACAUUUUGCGUUGUGCUACCUUGGAUGGUUGGACCGGAAUCGAUGAAGCAAAACUGAAGGCAUUCAUCAACAAGUGAAGGUCCAGAGCAGGACAUACAGAGUAGUGACUACUAAAAUAUUUUUGUUUGUGUACAAUGUGCAAUGUUCAUAUUUGCAAUAAGGUAUAUUUAAGAACAUACUGUUAUGGGCUUACUGGUGUCACAUGUAGGUUCGACUUUUUGUUCACUACAUCUGGUGGGUGACAACUGGCUAUUUUCAUCUCUACAAUAUUAUUUGGGGGUUUACCUAAUGUUUUAAAUCCGGUACAAGAGCAUAUGCUGUAUAUUAAUUUUAUUUACGUUCUUACAGUCAAUGGAACCCAAUCUGUGUUGGGAAUGAAAAGUGAGAUGCAUUGUUAAUAUAAUAAGCACUGUUGAAUACAUUUGUUGAACUGUAUCAGUUUAUUCUUAUUUUUUAACAGGUAAUCAUAAUUAAUAAUAUGGCAAAUUAAUGCUAACAAAUGAAAUUCUCAAUUGUGUCUCAUAUCUCAUUAAUCAAGCUCAUGUAUAGCUUCUGUAGUAAUUAUAAGAGAAAUACAUGAGACACGGAGGAGACGUUGCACAUACAAUGUAGAGCACUCCUUUAUGGCUCAUACCUAGACAUUUCUGAAAUGAUCACCUCAGAUUAAGAUCAUUAGUCUAAUAAGUCUCAAACUUGUGUCAUGAAUUUAUCAUUAUUUGUCCUUUAAAAUAAGAGGCAAGAAUGAGCUCAACGGUAUACAAUGAUAAGACCUCUGCCGAUCAUACUUCUCGAAUACUGCUCCUCGACUUAAGUACAAAGCUCUUAAUUAAACCAAAGACCGUAUAGAAAACGAAACCACCUUGGCUUUGGUUAAACCAAAUGGUUAAACAUUUUCUAAAUGUUAGUUAGUUAGCUAGCUAGCUGACGUUAACCUAGCAUGCCUCAAUAGCCUGCUUUAAUAACAGAAGAAACAAAUAACUACUUACUUCAAUAUUGACACAUUUGAUUAGCUUGCUAGUUGGUUCGAUAGUUUCUCUACUGAAAAACUAUCGAACUUAACUUUUUAUUAUUGUCAGACAUCGUUCACCAUCCCCUUUCAUCUCGCUGUUUAAAAAAAAAUUGGGUUAGAGAGCAGUCAAGCUGUGAUUGGUCCAAAAAUCUGACCAAUUGCAUUUCAGUAGACUGCUAUAGGCUAUGUUCAUUGGCUAGACUGUCCCCGUUAUACAAUUAUGGUAAGCGAUUGCGAGAACAAAAUUGAUUUUGGAGAGCAAACUGGAAAAUUGGUGUGAGAGAGAAAAGACUGUGUGUGGAGUCGGGAUGCGUGCAGUCAUUUGAGUCUUGACAGACGGUCCUCUGCUCGCUCGACCGCAUUUCUUCUCUCUCGACUCAAGUGUUGGCUCACUCUAGCCCGUUCAACUUUUGAAUCGGAGUUGACACCAUAGUAUUUCCCCAUCGUUUAUCAGUGCUAUUUUGAUAGCCAACUAGCUGAAAAGGUUUGAGAGGAUUUAUUUAAUGUUCCCUCGUUAGAUUUGAGCUCAUCUCGCUCUGGCUAGCAUUAGUUGUUGAUCUUGUUGAUGUGCAUAACUGAGCGAGAGACAGCUUACCGUUUCAUGUUUGUUCAAUACCUAAGCUUAUCAGUAAUACUACCAAGAGCAGUGUGCGGUUUCCUUUUUCAUGUUUGUUUGAUCUAUAGGUCUGUAAAGUUCCCAAAUGUAAUAGAACUCAGAUGGUAUUGACAUAUUUCCAGAAAUCCAUUCAGGUAUAUUUUGUGGCUUUUGGAGAAUGCGUUCUAAUGUUCAAAAAUUGUACUAUUGCAAAUGCCUGUAAACACAGUCCAGUUCAACGUGAAUGAUGGCAGGCCCCUGUGGCAAAUGGCUUAUAAAGGCCUACUGUAGCCCUGAUUGGUGAUGGCACACCCAUCUGUGUAGAUGCCCUUACUUGAUGAGAGAGAUUAUUUUUUUUAGGUUUUAUUUACUGCAGUGUCUUAAUUGUCAAAACGCACGGCCGCUUUCCCACUCUACAUUGCUAUAGAAUUUUCAUAAAUGCCUUGGGCUACUCUACGUAAUUCCCAAACAUUCUACGAAUGUAUGAAAAUGUGAAAAUUACCAUAUACUGUAUAAGUGAGUCUUUCUGGGUAAGGCGCUAAGAGCUUUCCACACCUGGAUUGUGAAACUUUUCCCAUUAUUCUUAAAAAUAAAUCUAAUGAGCUAUUGAUCAUUGCUAGACAACCAUUUUCAGGCCAUAGAUUGUCAAGUAGAUUUAAGUCAAAACUGUAACUUGGCCACUCAGGAACAUUCACUGUCUUCUUGGUAAGCAACCCCUGGGUAGAUAUGGGUUUGUGUUUUGGGUUAUUGUCCUGCUGAAAGGUGAAUUAAUCUCCCAGUUUUUGGUGGAAAGCAGACUGAACCACAUUUUCCUCUAGGAUUUUGGCUGUGCUUAGCUCCAUUCCAUUUUUAAAAUCCUUAACGAUUACAAGCAUACCCAUAACAUGAUGCUGCCACCAUUAUGCUUGAAAAUAUGGAGAGUGAUACUCAGUAAUGUGUUGUAUUGGAUUUGCCCCAAACACUUUUUCUCCUGAAUACAAAGUGUUAAUUGCUUUGCCACAUUCUUUGUAGUAUUACUUUAGUGCCUUGUUGCAAACAUGAUGCAUGUUUUGUAAUAUUUGUAAAUGUCUAUGCUGUCUGACUAUGUGUAUAUUUGCUAUUAAAAGGAACUCAGUUGCAUUGUAAGGGGACUCAGAGAAUUCACUGGGGAGACACUGAAUUUAUCUGAGAGUCACAGGAUUGUGAUAAGAGCUCAUAUAAUUAAAGAUGGACUUUUAUAACUAA